rnacentral:misc_RNA from 1 species
AAGACAGGACUGAACUCCAAGUAGCUCUCACGUAGUUCAUUGCAUGCUGUUGGAAUUUCCAGUUGCGUUUUCGUAUCCAGUCAUCCCCAACUAUGUGCCUAAGUUCCGAAUUCUUAACCUUCUGAGCCAUGUAAUGUAUGUUGUUCAUCAAGAAAAUAUGCUGCAAGGAAGGAUCUCUGUAUAACUUGGCCUUUUCAUCCAGGUUGCAUUCUAGAAUAGAAGUAACUGAUCGGAAGUGGAGAGCCAUUGGGGAAGCAUUAUAUGUAAUUCCACUUGUGUUCUCUUCUUCUGUAGGCGGACUCGUGUCAGGGGACGAGGUAAUGGGAUCCUCUCCAUCACGAUCCAUGAGAAGCAAAUUGAGGGUCUCACGGUGGUCAGUAAGAGUGUUGAUAUAAUUCAUGACAUACCUAGUGAGAUGAUGAAUUCCACCGCCUGCAAAAGGAUUCGGAGACACACUUGUUGCAAUGGCAUUCUCAAACUCAAGAAAUGCUGCCUUCGCAGAGUCCCCUAAUCUCCUUAGAACCUCACAACAGUCGGUUCUAACACAAAAACCAGACUCAUCAGAGUAUAAAGAAUCUAUAUCUGGAAGAAGAUCUGCAAGAACCUCGUACAUAUCAAGAAUAGGAAACAAUUUCUCUGGUUUGUGGGGAC